rnacentral:rRNA from 1 species
ACGGAGGGUGCAAGCGUUAAUCGGAAUCACUGGGCGUAAAGCGCGCGUAGGCGGUUUGGUAAGUCAGAUGUGAAAGCCCUCGGCUUAACCGGGGAACUGCAUUUGAUACUGCAAGACUUGAGUGCCGGAGAGGGGGGCGGAAUUCCGGGUGUAAGAGUGAAAUGCGUAGAUAUGCGGAGGAACACCAGUGGCGAAGGCGGCCACCUGGACGACAACUGACGCUGAGGCGCGAAAGCGUGGGGAGCAAACAG